AUUGAACGCUGGCGGCAGGCCUAACACAUGCAAGUCGAGCGAGCGGCGGACGGGUGAGUAAUGUAUGGGGACUGCCCGAUAGAGGGGGAUAACUACUGGAAACGGUAGCUAAUACCGCAUACUAUCGGAUAACCCAUAUGGGAUUAGCUAGUAGGUGAGGUAAUGGGUCACCUAGGCGACGAUCCCUAGCUGGUCUGAGAGGAUGAUCAGCCACACUGGGACUGAGACACGGCCCAGACUCCUACGGAGGCAGCAGUUGGGAAUAUUGCACAAUGGGCGCAAGCCUGAUUCAGCCAUGCCGCGUGUAUGGAGGAGGCCCUAGGUUUGGAAAGUACUGUCAGUCGGGAGGCGUUACCGGCAGAAGAACCACCGGCUAACACCGUGCCAGCAGCCGCGGUAAUUC
rnacentral:rRNA from 1 species